rnacentral:rRNA from 1 species
UUAACUGGGGUAGUUAUUUUAGUUAAAUUAAUAUGAAUUUAAACAAAUUAAUGGUAAUUGUUCCUUUAUAUAAGGGAAUAUAUAGAUAGUUACUUUAGGGAUAACAGCAUAAUAUUUUUGGAGAGAUCUUAUUGAUAGAAAUGAUUGUGACCUCGAUGUUGAAUUAAAAAAACUUUAUAAAGCAGCAUAUAUAUAAGUAGGUUUGUUCAACCUUUAAAAUUUUACAUGAUCAGAGUUCAGACCGGA